GGCCGGAGCCCCGGCCCGGGGGCUGCUCCCGGCGCUGCGCCGAGCCCGGGCCGCUGAGCGGGGACGGCACCGGAGAGCGAGGCUGGCGAUGGAGCUCGGCCUCAGGACCGGCACCGGAGGAUCGAGGCAGCCCCAGGAGCCGGCACUGACCGUGCCGCGGGUCGGGCACAGGCUGCUCCCAGCUCUGCCCGCGGAACUUCGGCAAUUGCCGACAGCAGUUCUUUGCCCUGCCAUCCAGAAGGGGCAGCUCAUCUGACACCUGCCAGGUCCUGCCUGGGAGGGAAACGGCUACAGGAGAGGAAACCAAGAAAUGCUCCAACCGGAUGCCACCGCGCGAGUCAAAGGAGGGAAGGACGGCAGGGAAAUAGAGGAGGUUUUCCGGCCCCGUCCGGGAUUCACCCAACGGCUGCAAAGGUGCUCGUGCGACGUCCGAGCUCAUUUGCAGGGAUAAAGGAGCCAACCCAGUCCGGAGCGAUCCCUCGCUCCCAG